GCUUGUCUCAAAGAUUAAGCCAUGCAUGUCUAAGUAUAAAAGUAUUCUAUACUUGAAACUGCGAAUAGCUCAUUAAAUCAGUUAUAGUUUAUUUGAUAGUGACCUUACUACAUGGAUACCCGUAGUAAUUCUAGAGCUAAUACAUGCCAAGAAAGCCCUGUCGUUCGGCAGGGUUGUAUUUAUUAGAUAAAAAACCAUUACUCGCAAGGGUUUUUGUGGUGAUUCAUAAUAACUGUUCGAAUCGCGGCGCAAGCUGCGAUUGAUCAUUCAAAUUUCUGCCCUAUCAGCUCUCGACGGUAGUGUAGUGGACUACCGUGGCAUUAACGGGUAACGGGGAAUUAGGGUUCGAUUCCGGAGAGGGAGCCUGAGAAACGGCUACCACAUCCAAGGAAGGCAGCAGG
rnacentral:rRNA from 1 species